ensembl:processed_transcript 1810026B05Rik RIKEN cDNA 1810026B05 gene
GCGCGGGCGGGAGGGGCGGCGGGUGGCUGCCGGCUGGCUCUGCACACGCAGCCCCGGGCACUGCCGCGGAGGGCCGAUGCCACGGGAGCACGGGGUCGGGCCACCGCGUUCCCGCUGCAUACCCAGCCGGGCGCCGCGCUGCGGUCCGAGCCAGCGGGGAGAGGGCGGCGGCCGCGCCGUGGAACCCCUGCUUGCUCUGGUAACUUAGAAGAUGAUAAUUAAUGUGGUUGCUGAUAAUUCUGAAUAAAUACAGCUUUUAUCCCAGGUGUGCCAUUUUGAAGACUGAGACCAUAGAGUUCUAAGAAUAAAGGAAAGAGCCCUUGGGAAAUUAUUAUAUAUAGCAAAAAUGUGAAUCCUCAGAUGGAAUGAAAGGCCUGCACCAUAGACAUCGAAGCAUUUACACCCCGCUUGAAGAGUUUGAAAUGGACUUUACCACUGAGAAAUCAAGAUGGCAGCCCAUUAUGGGGAAUUGAGGAAAAUGGAUUAAUGCAAGAAUGCUGUAAUAUUAUACAACCAACA